rnacentral:rRNA from 1 species
AUUGAACGCUGGCGGCAGGCCUAACACAUGCAAGUCGAGCGGUAGAGAGGUGCUUGCACCUCUUGAGAGCGGCGGACGGGUGAGUAACGCCUAGGAAUCUGCCUGGUAGUGGGGGAUAACGCUCGGAAACGGGCGCUAAUACCGCAUACGUCCUACGGGAGAAAGCAGGGGACCUUCGGGCCUUGCGCUAUCAGAUGAGCCUAGGUCGGAUUAGCUAGUUGGUGAGGUAAUGGCUCACCAAGGCGACGAUCCGUAACUGGUCUGAGAGGAUGAUCAGGCACACUGGAACUGAGACACGGUCCAGACUCCUACGGGAGGCAGCAGUGGGGAAUAUUGGACAAUGGGCGAAAGCCUGAUCCAGCCAUGCCGCGUGUGUGAAGAAGGUCUUCGGAUUGUAAAGCACUUUAAGUUGGGAGGAAGGGUCGUUACCUAAUACGUGACGAUUUUGACGUUACCGACAGAAUAAGCACCGGCUAACUCUGUGCCAGCCGCCGCAGUAAUAC